CCCUUAGAUGUUCUGGGCUGCGCGCGCGCUACACUGAUGCACUCAACGAGUUUACGACCUUGCCCGAUAGGGUUGGGUAAUCUUUUUAAAAUGCAUCGUGAUGGGGAUAGAUUAUUGCAAUUAUUAAUCUUCAACGAGGAAUUCCUAGUAAGCGCGAGUCAUCAGCUCGUGCUGAUUACGUCCCUGCCCUUUGUACACACCGCCCGUCGCUCCUACCGAUUGAGUGCUCAGGUGAAUAAUUCGGACUGCAGCAAUGUUUGGAUCCCGAACGUUGCAGCGGAAAGUUUAGUGAACCUUAUCACUUAGAGGAAGGAGAAGUCGUAACA
rnacentral:rRNA from 1 species